GGGUGCUCUGGAUCUUUUUGUCCCGAGCAUGAGCGUUUAUUAUUAGAUAAUUGUGCCUGUGGCAGAAAGAGAAAGACCCCGAGUUAAUGUUAAUCAACCGAGGUCUAUCUGCAUGCNUGUCCCGAGCAUGAGCGUUUAUUAUUAGAUAAUUGUGCCUGUGGCAGAAAGAGAAAGACCCCGAGUUAAUGUUAAUCAACCGAGGUCUAUCUGCAUGCAUAAUCAACAUCAGGUUAGCCUCUUACCCGCCGAAAGGCAAGGACAAGGGGGCAAUGAUG
rnacentral:antisense_RNA from 1 species